GUCUUUGGUGGUCCCUGAGAAUGCUCUGACUGCUUUCGAAGUACACGCAGCAGUCGAGUAUCCUUAGGAACCAGUAAAUU
rfam:Caenorhabditis remanei strain PB4641 contig43.9, whole genome shotgun sequence.